CAAAACACUCAAUAUCUCAAAAUAAGAAACCCCAAUUCAAAAUAUUAUAGGCCCUAAGCCCCAAUGCACAGAACAAGUAAGAGAAUUAUGAAUGAAAAUUUUAUUUAUAAUUAUACUAGUUUUCCAACGAAAGGAAAAGAUAUCAGUAAUUGUUGCCACCAAAAAGAAUUUGCUUCAACUUUUCAAUAGCUUCUCCAUGGAUAUCCUCAGCGGCCGCCAUCGUUGUUGUUGUUGUUGGGAAGCAGAGACAGAGGGUAUUGUGAUUGAUCGUUGAAGCAGCAGUAGACAAACCUCCGUAGUUUCUGUAGGGUUUUUGGGGUGUAUAAGGUACAGUGUAACGCUGUAACGUGCGGGUGCACACAAUACGCUAACUACCGCACGAUCAAUCACAAGCUAUUAACACAUAUAGUCGCUGCUGCUGAUGAUAUAGUUGCUGCUGAUGAUGAUAUAGUUGCCGAUGAUGAUAGUCUACUAUGGCGCGAAUCUGCUUUCGUAAUAUUUGGUAACUGUCAUAAAGCUGAGAAAUCACGGCCUGUUCGAAACCCCCUGGAAAUGGAAGGUUUAACUCCAGAGGAUCGUGUGAUCCUUAUUGACUGGCUUGUAGAGAUGUGUGUUCAAUCUAAACUCCAAACAAAUACACUUUACAGCAGUGUAAAUCUGGUAGACUGGUUUUUUUCAGAAAAUUACCUUGUAGUAGGAAGAUUCCAACUUCUAUAUGCGCCGC